GACGAACGCUGGCGGCGUGCUUAACACAUGCAAGUCGAACGGUAAGGCCCUUCGGGGUACGCGAGUGGCGAACGGGUGAGUAACACGUGGGUGAUCUGCCCUGCACUUCGGGAUAAGCCUGGGAAACUGGGUCUAAUACCGGAUAGGACCCUGGGAUGCAUGUCCUGGGGUGGAAAGCUUUUGCGGUGUGGGAUGGGCCCGCGGCCUAUCAGCUUGUUGGUGGGGUGAUGGCCUACCAAGGCGACGACGGGUAGCCGGCCUGAGAGGGGGACCGGCCACACUGGGACUGAGAUACGGCCCAGACUCCUACGGGAGGCAGCAGUGGGGAAUAUUGCACAAUGGGCGCAAGCCUGAUGCAGCGACGCCGCGUGAGGGAUGACGGCCUUCGGGUUGUAAACCUCUUUCAGCAUCGACGAAGCGAAAGUGACGGUAGGUGCAGAAGAAGGACCGGCCAACUACGUGCCAGCCGCCGCGGUAA
rnacentral:rRNA from 1 species